AGUCCUGUCAGCUGUGGUGGGAGGUACCCAUAACUGAUGAAAAAGGAAGACAUACAGAAGCUAUAGUGCAAGAUGGAACUUACAGGAAGAUGAAUCCUUACAGGAAGCAGGGUAGUUAUGAAAGUCUGCUGCUUACACCGGAUACUGCUCACUUGCUUAUCCCCUGAAAUGGAGAUAGGCAAGUCAAAUAAGAGAAGAGUUGUGGACAAUGUGAAGGAGAGAUCAGAAAAGAUGAACUUUCUAGUUCAAUGCAAGAACAGGACAUUGCAUGAGCAGAAUCAUUGAUGUAUUGGAAAAUGUGAUGCUGCUUGACCUGCUGAGUUAUUCCACAUUCUGUUUUCGCUUCUGGAAAGCAGAGGCUGGUAGCCAAACAACAACAGUCCUGCCCUUGUUGGCACACUUAAUGAUGUUGAGGUCAAUCUCUAGUGAAUAGAAGGCUGCAAAUUCAGAAACUGGGAGUGGACAGGUUGGAACGAAUAAGUGGAACAGAAAAAUUGAGAUGGUUGAUGUUAUGCCUGCAGUUUGUGAUGAAAAGACUGAAACAGUUUAAAGCUUGUUCUGGGUAGAACUGCAUCACCUGCGCCAUCUGGAAGAGAAUCCUUCGCCACUGAUGUUCAAAACUUGGGAUAUCAACCUUGUCUCUCAGCCUCCAAAGGAUACGGGUAUCUCCCAUCAUUUCACUGUUGUUACUGCUACUAUUAGUUGAGUGAUCCAGCAGAGCAGAGGCCAUACCCACUACUGGUGGCUUCGCAGGAAUAUCCUCAUCGUGUUACUGGCUCUCAGGACACCACCAUAUGCAUGUCUGUAGCCGACGCCUAUAACAGAAGGGAAACAGCACUGGGCUGCCAAUGCAGCAGUGGAAAGAUGCCACCUGUUGGUGGUCCAUCUUUGUUCAUUUCCUCCAAAAACUGAGGCUGAUCAAGUCCCAGGCUUCAAAGGGUACAGCAACACGCUACCUGUCAUAAUUCUGCUUUUAGAAAUAUUCGUUUGAAUUUGAAAAUUCAAACUUUGCGUACAGGUACCAUGGAGAACCACAGGGCUGAGUAAUUGGUAGGCAUAAAAAGCACGGAUUACAUUUAAAUAAUUAUGCCACAUAUUUGCAUCAAAAUUUGAAAAUAGCUUUGCCAGAGAAUCAAUGAAUGGGAGUCGUGAAUUUCUGCACAAAGAGGCUGAAUAUGAAGUGAUUUGCAAUGAGAACUGGACUACUGCAAUGCACGGAUGUGGUUGUCAAGGGAUAGUUUCCUGUACUAGAUUGGAAAGAAUGUCUCUUGCAGCAAGACACAAGUUAUCCUGUUGCUGCUCUUCUGGUUAAGCAGCCUGACUUCUGCCAUUGAAAGGCUUUAUCACAGGGUUCUCAAUACAGAGCUUUUUUUAAAAAGGGUAGUUGUUCAGCAGAUCAGCUGUCAACAUUGCAUCUGAGACGCAGGUGAAUUAUAAAACCAAGCAACAGCAAUUAAAUCUAAUCAAAUGAAACAUAGGUUCAAUAUUCAAAUUCUUGAG